UAGCAUUUACCAGGAAAGCCAUACACAAUGGGGAUAAGUCAUCGCUGGUCUUACGAGAUGGUGGCUUAACCAGCUUUUCUGGGUUUGCACAAGAUGGCGGAGAAUUUCUGUGAGGAGAGGGGUGACAAUAUGGCAGAGGCUGCUCCCCAUCCCGACUAUCUACCAUGUGUUCCGGGACAGGAGCACUUGGUGCGGAACUCAGAGGAACAGGCUAAGGAUCAAAAGGGUCUAGGAGGCCAUUGUCAGAGUGAGGCUUUAAGCCUUUCUACUCCUGGGCAGCAAGAGGACUCCCUUGCCGUGACCCAAGUCACUCCUCAACAAGGGUUUCCCAAGCUGGGUCACCCUUUGAGGUAGGAGGAGUAGGUGUCUUAAAAGGGUCUUUGCCGCCCCUAGAUGUUCCUUCUGAGGGGCCAGGGGAGAAACAGGCUUUGAGGGCAGAUAGGAUUGGGUAGACCCCCAGAGGGGGGUCCUCUCCCAGGUUAAUCUCCCUCUUCCUCACCAAUUGUUCUGCGCGGUCCCAGGUGACCUAAUCAAAAAGAUUGGCAGCCACCAACCAGGGCGCAGCGCGUGUCAAGGUUUCUCAGACCUUUUCGGCCUGGGCAUCCGAGAGCUCUAAACCUCGGCUUUUAAGCAUGAAUCUCAAUGCUUUAAGAGCUGGAGCAUCAUGCUCAGUGUGAGAUUGCCCCAUCUCUUCAGGGAGACCCUUACCUCAGAACUCGCUUGGCUUGGCUCGUGAAUACUUUCACUUUUGGUGAACCGACUUCUUCGUGUCCCUGUUCAGGCGCCAGAUGUCAGGGGUUUUAGUCCUCAUUCCCUCUCGACCUGCAGGAGAGAGAGGGAGAGCGCGCCCCGGAUGAGCCAAGAAAGGAGAGGGCCGACUGACCGCCCGCACCCAGCCCUCCCUCGCCGGAGGACAAUCAGACGCAUCAGGGAGACCAUUCAAGGCAGGAGCCCAUUUAUCGAGGAAGUACACACAGCUAAUAUAGAGUACAGAAGCCAACCGGAACAAAGGGCGGUUGGGCGGGAAGGGCUCACGCGUGCCCAUUCCAUGGGCUGUAAGGGAAAGCAUGAACUGUCCACGAGGGCAGAAGAGUCCUGGGCCUAUCCUAGAGGUGGUACCAUUUUUCGUCACAACCCACAGCACCGCCUUCUGGCUAAUUGCCAGGCGCCAUCUUAG
rnacentral:lncRNA from 1 species